rnacentral:rRNA from 1 species
GGGGAAUAUUGCACAAUGGGCGCAAGCCUGAUGCAGCCAUGCCGCGUGUAUGAAGAAGGCCUUGGGGUUGUAAAGACUUUCCACCGGGGGGGAAGGUGUUGUGGUUAUUACCGGCACCAAUUGCCGUACCCCGCGGAAGAGGAACGGGCUACCCCGGUGCCAGCAGCCGCGGUAAUACGGAGGGUGCAAGCGUUAAUCGGAAUUAUUGGGCGUAAAGCGCACGGCAGGCGGUCUGUCAAGUCGGAUGUGAAAUCCCCGGGCUCAACCUGGGAACUGCAUUCGAAACUGGCAGGCUAGAGUCUUGUAGAGGGGGGUAGAAUUCCAGGUGUAGCGGUGAAAUGCGUAGAGAUCUGGAGGAAUACCGGUGGCGAAGGCGGCCCCCUGGACAAAGACUGACGCUCAGGUGCGAAAGCGUGGGGAGCAAACA